rnacentral:tRNA from 1 species
GCCCCUAUAGCUCAGAUGGAUAGAGCACGGCCCUCCUAAGGCUGGGAUCCCCGUUCGAAUCGGGGUGGGGGCA